rnacentral:rRNA from 1 species
UGGGGAAUAUUGCGCAAUGGACGAAAGUCUGACGCAGCGACGCCGCGUGUGGGAUGACGCCUUUCGGGGUGUAAACCACUGUUGCCCGGGACGAAAAGCCCUUUCGAGGGAAUUGACGGUACCGGGUGAGGAAGCACCGGCUAACUCCGUGCCAGCAGCCGCGGUAAAACGUAGGUUCCGAGCGUUAUCCGGAUUUACUGGGCGUAAAGCGUGUUCAGGCGGCUUAGCAAGUCGGGCAUGAAAUCUCUCGGCUCAACCGGGAGAGGCUGUCCGAAACUGCUGGGCUUGAGGGCAGUAGAGGGUGGUGGAAUUCCGGGUGUAGUGGUGAAAUGCGUAGAUAUCCGGAGGAACACCAGUGGCGAAAGCGGCCACCUGGACUGCACCUGACGCUCAAACACGAAAGCUAGGGGAGCGAA